UCCUACGCCGUGCGGCGCGCCGCCGUGGCGGCCUACGCGGCGCUCAGCGCGGUGCUGUGCGCGCACGAGGCGCCCGGGGGCCUCCCUGACGGGUUCGUCGCCUGGGCGCUGCCGCUCCUGGGGGAGCCCGCCUCGGCCGCCCUCGUCGCCGAGGGGCUCAGGGAGCUCCUGGCCACCGGGGAUGCGCACGCCGUCGAGCGUUUCGUGCCACCACUCCUCGCCGCCUGCCGUGACGUGCUCGAGGAUGAGCGGACCUCGCUCGCUGUGCUCAGGUGCCUGCUCGGCCUGCUCACGCUCGUCGCCGCCAAGUUCCCCCACUGCUUCCGGCCGCAAUUCGUCGAUAUGGUUGACUUGCUCCUUGGGUGGGUGUUCGUCCCAGACCUUGCCGAAACCGAUUGCCGCACCAUCGUGGAUAGUUUCUCGCAGUUCCAGUGGCACUGGCUCGGUAAUCUGCAGUUCUCCCUUGGACUGUUGCCCAAGUUCUUGGCUGAUAUGGAGGUCCUUGUGCAUGAUCCCAACCUUGCGGCCAGCCAUAACUCUGGCCGGCUUCGUCCGCUCUUUGCUUGCUUCUCGACGGUGUUGCAGAUCAUGGCAUCUGGUGUGGCAGAGAGAAAUAAUCUGAGAGAACUUGUAGUAGGGCCACUUGAGGCGUUGGCUCCUCAGCUUUUAAGGUGUGCAUCAGUGAUAGCUUCCAAGAUUGGCUGGUCUGAGAGGAUGGAAGAAGCAUCCAGAUGUUUGGUCUUGCUCGCAGAGAUUCUGCAGGAAAGGUUCGCUGAGUUCUGUGCUAUGUUUGUGGAUGUGUUGACACAGAGUUUGGAUAAUGCGUCGUCACAACAGUUGGUGGUAGCACUUAAGACUAACCUGCAAGUGUUGUCACUUCAAAAUUUGGGGCUCCAUUCGGCUGCUGUGGAGCACUUGCUUGAAUUCAGCUCACUUUUAUCUCGGCUGCGUCUUCACCCAAGCCACAACGUGGUUGUAAAUUCAGCAUCCACUUAUCUUUUUUGUCUGCAGCAUGGAUUGGAAGAUGUAGCUGAGCAAGCAAUUGCAUCAUUGAUGAAAGAGUUGGAACUAUUGAAAUUUCUGCUUGAGAACAUGCAAGUAAGCUGCACUGGUAUCCAGAGUCACUCCUUAGAGAACAACACUCCAGUAGGGUAUUCAGAGCAUCAGUUGCUUUCUUUAAUGAAAUUCGAUUUGAAGAUUCUACUGGCCACUGUUUCAGCUGAUUCUGAAAAGAUCAACAGGAGAGUACCUAGGCUGACAUCAUUCAUUUCAGAGAAGCUUGACCCAUUUGGCACCCCGUUUCAUAAUUUCCUUGAGAUGCAGUUUCAGAUUUUCUCUACACUUCACAGACUGAGCAGUGUGGAACUGUCAAUUAAUAUUGAAACAUCUGAAGAAUUUGAAAGAGGCUCUGGUGAUUCAGGCAGUCAAACUCAGAUAAAUACUGAAUCAAGGAAGUCUUUUUGUGACUGUAAAAUGAAGUUCAUGCAUAAAUAUGGAAAACACAUAAUGCGUGGCCUUAGUGCAUCAUCAUCCAUGACACUGAAAUUAGACGCUUUAGAUUGGAUAGAUUCUUUCGCGAAACUGGUUCUUGCCAUGGAAAGGGAUCUGAACAAGACCAGUCUCUCUUAUGAGUUUGGGGAUGCUACCCUUCCGAAUACUAUUCUCUUCACUAUCUUGGAUUGCGCUUAUGAUAGGGAGACUAAAGUAAGAUGCCAUGUUGCGUUAUCCUUGGAAGCACUCUUUCUUGGUAGGCUCAUCAAUCCCAUGAGCUUCUCAGUUGUCUCACAGGUUCUUCUUGACAAGCUCAGUGAUCCAGACAAUGCUGUAAAAAAUGGAUUUCUGAGGUUAUUUUCAAUUGCUUUGCCUAUUACAACAUACACAUUUGGCUUCCUUGAGGAUGGAUAUAGUUAUCAGAAUUGCCUAGGUAUUUCUAACAUUACCAAGCACUGCAUGAGUUUGAGGCAUGUGCUUGCUGUGAAACAACAGCCUAGGAAACUUCACUGGCAGCAGCUUGUUUCUAUUCUGAGUUACCUUUCCCUCAGAUUGAAGUUGCCUCUUUCUUCUUGGGUUCAACGACUGGUCUUUAGUUACCGUGGCAAGAAAGAUAUGUUUUCUGGUCAAAUUGAUGUCUCUGGAGAUACUGAUUGGAAUGAAUUAUUCAAAGGGCCCGAUGUGGACAUAACUAUUAUUGACAGGAUAUAUUCAGUGAACAAUCUUGCUGCAGUUUGGUGGGGCAUCCAUGAAGCUGCUCGGCACUGCAUAAACCUUCGGCUUCGAACUCAUCUCGGUGGCCCCACACAGACAUUUGCUGCUUUAGAACGCAUGCUUUUGGAUGUACCAAAUUUAUUGGCACUGGAAACUAACGAAGGUGAAGGCAGGUAUAUAGGACCAUCUGACAUAUCCCUAUUGCCUAUGCGCCUGCUAUUGGAUUUUGUUGAGGCAUUAAAGAAAUAUGUUUAUAAUGCGUAUGAAGGUUCCUUUGUUCUACCAGCCCCUCCAAAGGCAAGUUCCUUGUUUUUCCGAGCGAACAAACGAGUCUGUGAAGAGUGGUUUUCUCGAAUCUGUGAUCCAAUGCUGAAGGCAGGACUAGCUUUGCAGUGCAGCGAUGCAGUCAUUCAGUACUGCUCAUCUCGGUUACUAGAUCUCAGAAACAUUGCUGCAUCAUCCCUCAAGGACAACAGCCGCAUGGGAGGAGCUACUGAAAGUAAUCAUGCUUUUAGAGAGAGGUUAGAAAUGGAUAUUCUGAAGGUUUUGCGACAUGCUUCUCUGGCAUUGUGCAGGUGUCAUGAAACAGAUGCCUUAGUUGGACUCCAGAGGUGGGCUGUGUCAACAUUCUACACAUACUUUGAGCAGGAAAAGCAACUAACACGGGGUGCAUCUGAUACCCACAAGCACUUUUCCUGGAUGUCAGGACUCAUCUAUCAAUCCCAGGGGCAGUAUGAAAAGGCUGCUGCACAUUAUUCUCAUCUCUUGCAGUCUGAGGAAGCCCUUACCUCCAUGGAUUCUGAUGUCAUCCAGUACAUCAUAGCACGUGUUAUUGAGUGCUACACAGCUCUGUCUGACUGGAAAUGCUUGGAGGGUUGGCUUGCAGAGUUACAAGAGCUCCGUGCUGUACAUGCUGGCAAACCUUAUUCAGGUGCUUUAACGAGUGCUGGCAAUGAGCUUAAUGCUAUUCAUGCAAUGGCAUGCUUUGAUGAGGGUGACUUCCAUUCAGCUUGGAGUUAUCUUGAUUUGACUCCUAAAAGCAGCAGCGAGCUUACCCUUGAUCCCAAGGUUGCAGUUGAGAGAAGUGAAUUAAUGCUCCUGCGUGGAAUGCUUCAAUCUGACAGCAAGCCUGACAAGGCAAGAGAGGAUCUUGAUAAGGCUAAAUUGAUGUUGGAUGAAGCACUCUCUGUGGCCCCUCUCAAUGGAUUGACUGAUGCUGCAGCAUGUGCUGGCCAGCUUCAUUGCAUCUUUGCAUUUGAAGAGGCCACUGGGUUGACGUGCCAAGAUGGACCUAAUCAACCACCAGCGCUCAUGGAUUAUUUACUGAGACUAUUGCAGGAUCCUAUUGACAGGAUCCAUCAAGAUUGCAGCAUGUGGCUGAAGGUCUUUAAAGUGUAUCGUACUGCACAUCCAUCUUCAUUACCCACUCUUCUUCUAUGUCGCAAGCUUGCUAGUCUUGCUAGAAAGCAGACCAACUUUAUGUUAGCUGGCCGCUUAAACCAGUACCUCAUAAACCAUCCUUUGGAAUCAUCUGAUGAGACGGACAAGGGAAUGCUUACUUUGAACAUUAAGUAUGAAGGUGCCUUGCUGAAGCAUUGCGAAGGAGACAAUGAGGAGGCUUUAACUGAUCUGUGGUCACUGGUUCGUGCUAAUAUUCUUUCUUCAGUUAGUGAUUCAUCUGGUAUUGGCGAUUCACUUAUUGCUAAGGCGUGUCUGAAACUCUCGACCUGGAUGGAGGAGAGUUCAACUUCCACUCUGAAUAUGAUCGUUCCAAAGGUGGUAAAAGAUUUUAGUGAUUUUGAUGGCUUUCAAAAUGGGUCAGAGAAACUUUUGUCUGGUGACAGUGGGUUAGUUUGUACUGCAAACUGUCAUGUGCUUGCCCAAGAAAUCAUAGGCAGUGCUCGAAAGAUAUCCUGGCAACUUUGUCCCAGUAUGGGCAAGGCAUGGCUUUCUUAUGCAUCUUGGUGCUUUACUCAUGCCAAUCACUCUCUGUCUGGAUCCGAUUCAAAUGUGCAGAACAGUUUGUCCUCCAUUCUCCAAUCUGAACUUUCUCCAGACAGAUUUCACUUGACAGAUAAUGAGAAGUCUGAGGUGGAGCAAACAAUAAGAAGUUUCUAUGCUGAUAAAUCUGCAAAUUGUGUCGAUCACAAUUCCUUAGCGACAACAGGGUCUAGCAACAAUUCUGAGCAGGAGUAUCCCAUGACCAUGAUAAUUGAACAGGCAACUCAACUGUUAGAAACUGCAGCCGGAGCACCAGGUUUUGAGGCCAGUGAUGGUGAAGGUGCCUAUGCACUGCUAUCAUCAGGGCUUAACGUUCUCUUUGGUAAAUGCGAUUCUAUAAUGGACAGUGCUAUGCCUUUGAUUAAUAAUCUCACUGAAAUUUGGUGGUCUUUAAGGAAAAGGAGGGUAUCACUCUUUGGGCAUGCUGCAACUGCUUAUUUUCAGUACCUUUCUCAUUCAUCAAGUGAGCUUCAACCUUCAUAUCAGCGUGAUGCCUUAAAAGGGAAAACUAGGGGCUACACUUUGAGAGCAUUGUUGUAUCUCCUCCAUAUAAUUUUGAACUAUGGGGUGGAGCUGAAGGAAACACUUGAAAGUGGGCUUUCAACAGUUCCUUUGUUGCCAUGGCAGGAGAUUAUACCACAACUUUUUGCUCGCUUGAGUUCCCACCCAGAGAAGAUAGUAAGGAAACAGUUGGAGAGCAUAUUGGUGAAGCUAGGGAAACUUUCUCCUUAUUCUAUAGUAUAUCCUACAUUAGUUGAUAUCAAUGCCUGUGAAGGAGAACCUUCUGAGGAGCUUCAGCGAAUAUUGAACUUUCUGGUUAAGCUGUACCCCAAAUUAAUUAAGGAUGUUAAGCUUGUAAUUGAUGAGCUAGGAAUGAUAACCGUUCUGUGGGAGGAACAAUGGCUGAGUACCUUACAAGAUCUCCAUUCAGAUGUCUUAAGGAGAAUCAAUAUACUUAAGGAGGAAGCUGCAAGGGUUGCUGCAAAUUCUACACUGACUUCAUCUGAAAAGAACAAGAUCAAUGCUGCAAAAUAUUCUGCUAUUAUGACUCCAAUUGUUGUAGCAUUGGAACGUCGUUUAGCGUCCACAUCUCGUGAACCAAGAACACCCCAUGAGACGUGGUUCCAUAAGGAAUAUAACGCUCAGCUGAGAUCUGCAAUCACAAGCCUUAAGGUGCCCCCUGGAUCUCCAGCAGCAUUAGGAGAGAUUUGGCGGCCUUUUGAUUCAAUUGCAGCUUCUUUAGUCAGUCAUCAAAGAAAGUCAUGCGUAUUGUUAAGUGAAAUUGCUCCACAGCUAGCAACUUUGUCAACCUCUGACAUUCCAAUGCCUGGUUUUGAGAAGCAGAUACUUGAUUCCUCAGAAUCUUUUUUUGCUGGAAAUCAUGGCACGGUUACAGUCUCUUCUUUCUGCAAAGAAGUUACAAUACUUUCUACAAAGACAAGACCUAAGAAGCUCGCCUUGCAAGGAUCAGACGGACAGAAGUAUAUUUAUCUUCUCAAGGGACGGGAGGAUCUACGUCUUGAUUCUCGGAUCAUGCAGCUUCUGGAGGCGAUAAAUAGCUUCUUGCAUUCAUCUUCUGACACUCGAAGUCGAAAUAUUGCAAUUCGAUUUUAUUCUGUUACACCAAUUAGUGGACGAGCUGGGCUAAUCCAGUGGGUAGAAAAUGUAAGCAGCAUAUACAAUGUGUACAAGUCAUGGCAAAAACGUACUCAGGUGGCACAGGCACAGGCACAGCUUUCUUCAGUUAGCACUGGUAACAUUCACAACUCAGUACCUCAUGUUCCCCGUCCGAGUGAUAUGUUCUAUGGAAAAAUAAUACCAGCACUGAAAGAAAAAGGGAUCAAAAGGGUAAUCUCACGAAGAGAUUGGCCACUAGACGUUAAGAAAAAAGUUCUGUUGGAGCUUAUGAAGGAGACUCCAAAGCAGAUUUUGUGGCAAGAAAUGUGGUGUUCAAGUGAGGGCUUCAAAAACUUCAACUCCAAAGUAAAGAGAUUCUCUAGCAGUCUAGCGGCUAUGAGCAUGGUUGGCCAUAUCCUGGGCCUUGGAGAUAGGCAUUUAGACAAUAUCCUUAUGGACUUUAGCAAUGGUGAUGUGGUUCACAUAGAUUACAAUAUAUGCUUUGAUAAAGGGAAAAGGUUGAAGAUUCCAGAAAUCGUUCCAUUCCGUCUUACUCAAACUAUUGAAUCAGCCUUGGGAUUGUCUGGAGUUGAAGGUGUCUUUAGAGCUACCUGUGAGGCAGUUAUGGGUGCCCUCUUGAAGAACAAAGAUAUCAUCUUAAUGUUAAUGGAAGUAUUUGUUUGGGACCCAUUGAUUGAGUGGACACGCGGAAAUAUGCAAGAUGAAGCUGGAAUAGCUGGUGAAGAGAAGAAAGGAAUGGAAUUAGCAGUUAGUUUAAGCUUGUUCUCUUCUAGGAUUCAAGAAAGUCGUGUUCCGUUGCAGGAGCAUCAGGAUCUUUUCGUGACUAACUUGCCAGCUACAGUAUCUGUUCUAAAGACAUUCUUGGAUACUCUAGAUCAGUAUGAGGUUAAGUCUGCUAUAUUUUAUCAUGCUGAGAAAGAGAGGUCCAGUGCUUUACAUAAUGAAACGUCAGCAAAGUCAAUCCUUGCCGAGGCCACUUCAGGUGCUGAAAAAUCCCGCACUUCUUUUGAGCUUCAUGCUCAUGAAUUAGCAGAAGCGAAAACAUCGACAGUUGACGAAGCUAACACGCUUGCAAUAUGGGUGGAAAAACAUGGAAGGGUUCUUGAGGCCAUACGGGACAAUUCGAUUACAGGUUCGGAACUAUUAAUGAAACUAGACAGCAAGGAUGAGGCCUUGAGCCUUAUUUCAGCUGUCCUUGUAUCUGGGGUCCCCCUUACGGUUGUACCAGAGCCAACUAGAGAACAUUGCUAUGAGUUGGAUAGGGAGGUCUCUGAACUAAUUACUGAGUUGCAUGAUGGGCGGUCCUCUGCUUUACAGGCACUUGGUGAGUAUGCUUUAAUCUUGCAGCAAGUUCUUCCAGUUAACUACAUCACAACCAGUCCAAUUACUGGUUGGGCACAAGCUUUGCAGCUAUCUGUAACCAGUGCAUCACAAGACAUGCUUGCUCUUGCCAAAAGGCAGGCUGCAGAAGUCAUUGCUAAGGUUCAGGGCGAAGGUAGUAAUCUAGUACAGCAAAGAUACCGGGAUCUCUUAAAUCAAAUGGAAAGUUAUGUUGCAUGUGUGGAAAGAAUUAUGAGGGAAUGUUCUGAAUUGAUGAGUUCUGUUGGAUCGGAUAACGAAGCACAGUCUAAAGAUCGGAUACUUUCUGCAUUCAUAAACUCUGUUCAAUUGUCAUCACAAAAGAAUGAUGAGGAUACCGUUCCUUCUUCGCUGGCAGAUAAUUUGGAGGUCAAACCUCCAGCCCAGGAGGAUGUAAAAGAGAAAGCAAGUAAGGUUCUAUCUGUUCUUGGGAUCGCUGUGAGUCAGUUAUACAGUGGCAUUAGAGUCAGAGUGUCUGAACUCUCAACUAAAGCUGUUGGGAUAACUAAGUUUAGGACAGAUGAAGCUGGUCUUCAAGCUGAUGCUGGAAUGAGUCUGCAAUUGUUUGAUCAGCAGAUCGAAAAAUGUGCAUUACUUUCUGGAUUUGUGAAGGAAGUGCAUGAAGUGAUGGGGACAAAAUUAGGUGAAAUAAACGCUGAUUAUCUGAAGCAUCGGCCUGGACAAUGGGCUUAUACGUUUCAGGCCAUUUUGCACUCAAGUACCAACAUGAUUGAGCAAAUGACCGAAGUUUUUCUUCCAGAAAUUAUUAGAUCGUUUGUCUCGUACAAUUCGGAGGUAAUGGAAGCCUUUGGUUCAAUUUCUCGGAUACGUGGUUCUGUUGACACAGCUCUAGAGAAGUUGGCUGAGGUAGAACUUGAGAGAACAUCACUGACUGAACUGGAACAGAGCUACUUUGUGGAAGUUGGCCGAAUCACUGAGCAGCAAGUAGCUCUUGAAGAAGCUGCCAUGAGGGGUAGAGACCAUCUAUCCUGGGAAGAAGCAGAGGAACUAGCUUCACAGGAGGAAGCCUGUAGAGCACAGUUGGAACAACUUCAGAAAACUUGGAGCCAGAAAGAUAUGAGAAUUUCAUCAGUUUUGAAAGUAGAAGCCAGUGUCAUGAAUUCUUUACAUUCUUCUGAAAAGUACUUCUCAUCUUUGGUGAGUGCUGAUCAGGAAAAUGAAUUUCAUUUCAGAAGCAAGGCUCUGCUUUCAAUCUUGACAAAGCCCUUCGCUGACCUGGAAUCUCUUGAUCAUAUGCUAUCAUCUCGUGGCGCCUUCCCUUCCCACAUGAGCGGACCAGUUUCUAAUCUAAGAGAAGUUUUGGCUGCCAGUUCUUCAUUAUCUGAUGUUGUGUGGCCUUUAUCUGGCUUAUUGAAGGAUCAUGCUUUUUUUGUUUGGAAGCUCGGUUUGCUUGAUUCAAUUCUUGACUUGUGCAUGCAUGAGAUUUCAUCUUCUGUUGAGCACAGUUGUACUACCAACCAGCUUUACAUUACUCUCAAGAAGAAGCUUGCGAUCCAUGUGGAAAAUCAAGUUGGUCAAUAUAUUCUGAAAAGGAUUGCUCCUGCACUGAUCCUACAUUUAGACAAAGAAAUUUGUGAUUUGCUAGAAACGAGUCAAGGAAGAAGAGAAUCAGGUCAACCUACUGCGGCUGCAGGAAGGGUUGCAUUAAUGCUUGAGGAGUACUGUAAUGCUCAUGAGACAGCUAGAGCUGCCCGGACUGCAGUUUCUCUAAAGCAAAGGCAAUUAAAUGACCUCACUGAGGCUUUACGUAAAAUAAUUUUGGAAAUAGUUCAGGUUGAAUGGCUGCAUGAUUUUUCAUCGCCUCAUGCACAGAAGGCCAAGAUUUUCUCACAAAAUAUUCUUGGUGAUGAUAAGUUCAUGUCCGUGCUUUUAAAUCUGAGCAGAAGGAACUUGUUAGAUAAGAUCCAGUCUUCGAUGUCAUUGAUAACAAGAUCAAUUGAGUGUCUGCAAGCUUGUGAAAGCACUUGUGUUUCAGCUGAAGGCCAACUUGAGAGAGCAAUGGGAUGGGCCUGCGCCGGUCCAAAUACUUCUGGAGCAGGCAGUUCAACUGCAAAGGGUUCAGGAAUCCCCCCCGAGUUUCAUGAUCAUCUAUCGAAAAGGAGGAAAUUGCUUGGGGGCAUUCAAGAACAGGCAUCUGACCUUGUUAAGUCUUGCACAUCCGUUUUAGAGUUUGAAGCAUCUAGAGAUGGGCUUUACUUUGUUUCUGAGGAUAAAUCUUCUGGACAAUCUACUGAUAAGGGCAGGGCCUGGCAGCAAACUUUCGUGAAUCUACUGACACGUUUAGAUGCAGCAUACAAUUCCUUUACAUGUGCAGAACAAGACUGGAAACGUGGCCAGCUCAACAUGGAAACUGCUGGAAAAGGCUUGUAUUCAGCUACCAAUCAACUUUCUGUAGUCUCUGUCAAGGCAAAAUCUGCUUUAGUUGAUCUGCAGGAUACUCUGGUAGACAUGUAUGAACGUGCUUGCGAAGUCAGUGUAUCAUUAUCUGGAUUCAAACAUAUUUCACAGGAACGCACUGCCUUGACUGCUGAAUGUGGCUCCUUGCUCGAGGAGGUUUUGGCUAUAGCAGAGGGGUUGCAUGAUGUCUACACUUUGGGAAAGGAAGCUGCUGCAUUGCACAGUUCCCUUACGGCAAAUAUUUCCAAGGCAAAUACGAUCUUACUUCCACUUGAAGCUUUGUUGUCUGCUGAUGUGGCUGUUAUGUCUGAAGCGAUCUCAAAGGAAAGAGAGAAGAAUAACACCAGUAUGCCUCUUAGUCAUGGAAAGGCAUUAUACCAAUCUUACAUCACUAGAGUAAGGGAAGCUUGCAAAAACAUAGAGCCUGUGGUGCCCCUAUUAACUGAAUACGUGAAGGAGCUGCACUCCAUGGUGAUUAAGCUUGGACGCCUUUCAAGUCUUCAUGCAGGGAAUCUUCAUAAGGCUUUAGAAGUUCUUGAAGAAAGUGAAACUGGGAGAUCACAGGAUAUGCCCUCUGCACGUCCAGAUCUUCUGCAAAGUGAUUCGUCAGUUGAGAAGGAUAAAAGCUCUUCUGGGAGCAGGGAAGGUGUCUCUCAGGAUUUGAUUAUUGAUACUGAUGGUUCUCUACAAGAUGAAUGUUGGAUUUCUCCACCAGAGCACUCAUAUACUAGCAGUUCAGGAUGUACAACAUUGUUGACCCAGCUUACUCCUGAGAAUUUGGAGAAAAUAGAUGCCCUUUUGGACAGCGGGCCUGGAAUAGAGGGUCCUGCUGCUAAUAGUCAGCAAUCAAGAGAUGGUAGAACUGAUUCAGAAUCAGACUCAAGUAGCAAUAAGCAGGUGUUUUCAAACAAUGUCACACAAGCUAGCAAUAUUCAUGUGGCUGGAACUUCUUUUGCGGAGGAGGGAAGAAUUGAAACUGAGGAUAACACUGGAACCUUCAAACAGGUUAGAGGACAAGAAUGUGACAGCAGUGACAAUAAAUCCUAUUCAGAUACUCGAAUGACCAGAGGUAAAAAUCCUUUUGCUCUGUCUAUCCUGAAGCAAGUGGAACAUAAGUUACAUGGACGAGAUAUAGAUGGUACCAGGUCCUUGAAAAUUUCAGAGCAAGUAGACUAUCUUCUUAAGCAGGCAACAAGCAUCGACAAUUUGUGUAAUAUGUACGAGGGUUGGACACCUUGGAUAUGA
rnacentral:rRNA from 1 species